rnacentral:lncRNA from 1 species
UAAAUGAGCUAAAUACCUAAUAAAAAAUGGAAAAAAAAAAAGAAAGAUUACUGUCUUGCUUUUUCUAGGGUAUAGAUUCCUUCCUUGUGUUGAAGUUUUUCCUUUAUUAUCCUUUGAAGGGCUGGAUUUGUGGAAAGAUAUUGUGUUAAUUUGAUUUUGCCAUGGAAUGCUUUGGUUUCUCCAUCUAUGUUAAUUGAGAGUUUUGCUGAGUUUAGUAGCCUUAGCUGGCAGUUUUGUUCUCUCAUGUUCUGUAUGACAUCUCUUUAGGCUUUCGUAGUCUCUGGUGAGAAGUCUGGUGUAAUUCUAAUAGGUCUGCAUUUAUAUCUUACUUGACAUUUUUCUCUUACUGGUUUUACUAUUCUAUCUUUGUUUAGUGUAUUUGGUGUUUUAAUUAUUAUGUGUCAGGAAGAAUUUCUUUUCUGGUACAGUCUAUUUGGAAUUCUGUAGGCUUCUUAUAUGUUCAUGGGCAUCUCUUUUUUUAGGUUAGGGAAGUUUUCUUCUAUAAUUUUGUUGAAGAUAUUUAUUAGCCUUUUAAGUUGAAAAUCUUCAUUCUCAUCUAUACCUAUUAUCUUUAGGUUUGGUCUUCUCAUUGUGUCCUGUAGUUCCUGGAUAUUUUGAGAUAGGAUUUUUUUUUUUUUUUUUUUUGCAUUUUGCAUUUUGCACUUUCUUUGCUUGUUGUGUCCAUGUUUUCUAUGGAAUCUUCUGCAUUUGAGAUCUCUUGUAUAUUUUGUAAUCUGCUUGUGAUACUUGCAUCUAUGGCUCCUGAUAUUUUUCCUAGAAUUUCUACAUCCAGAGUUGUCUCCCUUUUUGAUUUCUUUAUUGUUUCUACUUCCAUUUUUGGAUCAUGAAUGUUUUUUAUUUUUUUUACUUUUUUUUUAAAUUUAUUCACCUUUUUUAUUGUGUUCUCCUGUAAUUCUUUAAGGGAUUUUUGUGUUUCAUCUUUAAGGACUUCUGUUUAUCUGUGUUCUCCUGUAUUUCUUUAUGGGAGUUAUUAAUGUCCUUCUUAAAAUCCUCUACCAACAUCAUGAGAUAUGAUUCUAAAUCUGAAUCUUGCUUUAUCCGGUGUGUUGGGGCAUCCAUGACUAACUGUGAUGGGAGUACUGGGUUGUGAUGAUGCCAAGUAGUCUUAUUUUCUGUUGGUAAAUUAUUAAACUUGCCUUUCUUCAUCUGGUAAUCUCUGGUGUUAGAUGUUCUAGCUGUCUGUGGCUGGAGCUUGUUCCUCUGUGAGUCUGUAAGCCUGUGUCAACACUCCUGGGAGACCAGCUCCCUCCUGGCAAGAACACUGCACAGAGGUCUGUGGAACAGCUCCACCUCCUGGCUGCAGAUGUAGGCCUAUAGGACCCUGUUUCAGAAGCUCUCUUGCUUCUGUGUCCUUGCUCUCCUGAGUGCUUUAGAGAGAUGCAGGAGGAAAUGGUGAUCUCUCCUAAGUCCUGGGGGGUCAGAGCACUCCCUGGAGGCAAGGUCUCCUCUGUCAGGCUAAUUCCACUGAGGACUGGAGAUCACAACUCUUUAUUGCAGAUGUAAGCUCAUAAGAACCUGUUAUAGAAGCUCUGUUGCUUCUGAGGCCUGUGCUCUUCUGAGAGGACCACCUUAUAGAAAUACCUUUGAUUGGGUAUCUUUUAAAAUGCUUUUAAAAGCAUUACUCCUCUAUAAAGAUUUUAGUGUGUUCCUGUGGCCUACCAUGCAGACCACAAGAGCAGCACAACCAACACAGUUUUAGAGAUGCACUUCUGAUUUUUAACCCUGGAUUUAGCAUGAAAGAUACAUCUUGUGACCUAAUGUAAAAGCAGUUCCUGGUAUAAGAACUGUACAAAGCAAUGGUGAAACCUCCAGAGAACUCAUGCAAACUCCCAACUUUAAUUGGCAUAAACACAAUUAACUGCUAUAAUACAUUUUAUUACAACCAUAGUACACUGAAUAUAUGUUAGGUAAGUUAAACUCCUAUUAAUGGACAUCACUAAGAAAGCAAAAGGCUUAUGUUGUCAUAAGAAAAUUUUCUUGAGAAUUAGAGCCCAAUUUCUUCAUGUAAUCCUGACUGUUAAUGAAGCAAAGUCAGAUUCCACUGAUGGGAAUAAAGCUGAGUGUAAACCAGCAAGUGUUAGAAAAAUUUUAACUUACAUUUAAUAAAAAAUAAAAAUACCAACCUGCAAAUUCAUUUGAUGACUUUUCUUCAUAUUUUUGAUUAAUCUAAUGCCUUCAUUUUAUUUUAUGCAUUAAUUAUCUACCUUUUUAUGUUUGAUCAGUUCUACUGAUAAGUCUUUUUCCUGAACAUUUUCUAAUUGGUUAUUGAGAUUUUUUCAUUCAAUUUUCACUUCAAUUUAUACUAUCUUAAGUAUUUCUAUAUUUUUAUUGAAUUCAAAUUUUAAGCCCAAAACUCUUCCCAUCUUUUUAUUCAGUCAUAUAUUGUUGGGUUUUUUUUCUUCAUUCUGGAUUUAUUUCUAUAUUCUUUGUGUUUCUAGAGCUUUUUAUGAAAUGGCUUCUUUAAAGUCUUUGAAUUCUUUAGUACGUCUGUAAUUGUUCUUUCAAAUAUUGUGCUUGGUUUGAUCUAGAUAAUUAUUAUUGAAGAAUAUUUCUAUACUACUAGGGGCUUGUGGGGAGCAUGCUCUCUUGGCUUUUCAUAAUGUUUGUGUUUUUGAAGUGUUUUGAAGUACAUAUGAACUUCUUUUCUGUGUCAUGUGUCUGAUAUGUGAUUACAGUUGCUUCCACCUAGUGGAACUUUGUUUCUCUACCUGUUGUUGCCUGAGCUUGGUUGAUUUCAGAUCAAGGAUGAACAGUAAAUGGGUCAUUCCUUCAGUACAUUUUGGACAGGAAUGUUUUUAAUUGCAUUGCAGCCAUGAUAGUAAAUGUGGGUGACUCCCAUAUAGGUUUGCAUAAACUUACUUAUAUGUGUUUGACCUCAGAGUCUGAGGACAGAGCAGAUCAGGGCAUUCUGUGGACUGGGCUAGUGAAUGAGCUUCAUGACCCAAGCUAAGCCUGAAAGUAUAAGGAUUGCAAGGAGAGGUGGAGGUCUUGGUCACUAGACAGACUGUGAGACUUGAGCUAGAACUUCUGGGAGAAUAGACAGGAUGCAGUCAGAUAGGUUCCUAGGGAACUAUUCAUGCUUAGCUGAAGCACAUGCCCUAAAAGCCCAGCCAAUUCUGAGAGUUUGGUCUGACUAAGAUCGGUGAGAAUCUUCAUUUUGUUUGUCAUACCUUCUGGAGGUACAGCAUUCAAACAGGUAUAAAAGUACACACAUACAUGGCAACUGUCUUUCUAUAAUUUUAGUCAUAUAUUUAAUGGUGACAGGUAUGUAUGUCUGUAUGUAUGUUUUCAUGAAUACAAGUAUGCUCAUAUAUAUUCAUCCAAUAUUAAAAUAACCCUAUUCUCUCCCUCUUCCUCCCUCUCUCUCUCUGUGAAUUCAUAAGGACAAGAGAUAGCAUAAAAGUUCAUUAUUAUUCACCUCUUCCUCAACAGAUCAUAAUUCCCAAACAUUCUGAAAGGUGCCAUGUUAAUGUUACAUUUUCAAGAUGACUGUCUGGUUAGCAGGACUGGGCAGGCUUCAAUACCUGCACACACUAUAUUUGAUUCUGUCAGAGUGUACGAUGUCAGACAGAGUCAGAGUAAUACUGCAAGUUUGAGCACUUUAAGAUUUGAACUUAAUUGUGCUUAGCAGUAAAGCCUAAACUAAACUAAAAUCAGCAGACUUAGGAACAAAAAUAACCUUUUAUACAAUAAACAAACAAAUAAGCAAAUGGUAACCGAGGAGGAAAAUAUAAUCAAUGAAGAAUAUUUCUGUUCUUAUUUUGUUUCCCAUUAAAAUCUAUUAACAAAUUGCCUCCGCACAUAUGGCACACAAGAGAGUGUAAUUUACC